rnacentral:misc_RNA from 1 species
GGUCAAGAUAGCCUGCUGGGAUUAAGCCAGCGAGAACCUUGAAAACUGCAUAGUGAACAAUGUCAGGUAGAAACCUUAGUG